AAAAAAAAAAAAAAAAAAAA
rnacentral:misc_RNA from 1 species